UACGUAGGGGGCAAGCGUUGUCCGGAAUUAUUGGGCGUAAAGCGCGCGCAGGCGGCAGGACAAGUCUGGUGUUAAAGUCCAGGGCUUAACCUUGGGAUGCACUGGAAACUGUCCAGCUGGAGUGCAGGAGAGGAGAGCGGAAUUCCACGUGUAGCGGUGAAAUGCGUAGAGAUGUGGAGGAACACCAGUGGCGAAGGCGGCUCUCUGGCCUGUAACUGACGCUGAGGCGCGAAAGCGUGGGGAGCAAACAGG
rnacentral:rRNA from 1 species